GAUGAACGCUAGCUACAGGCUUAACACAUGCAAGUCGAGGGGAAACGACAUCGAAAGCUUGCUUUUGAUGGGCGUCGACCGGCGCACGGGUGAGUAACGCGUAUCCAACCUGCCCAUCACUUGGGAAUAACCUUGCGAAAGUAAGACUAAUACCCAAUGAUAUCCCACGAAGGCAUCGGAAUGGGAUUAAAGAUUUAUCGGUGAUGGAUGGGGAUGCGUCUGAUUAGCUUGUUGGCGGGGUAACGGCCCACCAAGGCAACGAUCAGUAGGGGUUCUGAGAGGAAGGUCCCCCACAUUGGAACUGAGACACGGUCCAAACUCCUACGGGAGGCAGCAGUGAGGAAUAUUGGUCAGUGGGCGAGAGCCUGAACCAGCCAAGUAGCGUGCAGGAAGACGGCCCUAUGGGUUGUAAACUGCUUUUAUAAGGGAAUAAAGUGGGUCACGUGUGACUUUUUGCAUGUACCUUAUGAAUAAGGACCGGCUAAUUCCGUG
rnacentral:rRNA from 1 species